rnacentral:tRNA from 2 species
GCCGAAGUGGUGGAAUUGGUAGACACGCCGUCUUGAGGGGGCGGUGGCGUAAUGCUGUGCCGGUUCGAGUCCGGCCUUCGGCACCA